rnacentral:lncRNA from 1 species
UGUGAGUCUGAUAGGAUUGAUAUUUGGGCUAGACAUAUAGAUUUGGAUCAUUGCAUGUGAAUGUCAUCAAAGUUAUAAAAGUGGAUGGGUUUUCCUAGGGAGAGGGUGAGGAAUGGAGCAGCCUAGUAGAGAAGAGGAUGAGGGAGAUCUAGGGCCAGACCGUUGGGUUGGAAUCUGAACUUCUUUCCUCAUUAACCAUGUGACUUUGGCCAUGUAGAGCCCACAAAGGUAAAAGUGUUAGGGACUGCAGAAGUCAAAAUGUGGCCCUGGUAGCAGUGGUGGGAUAGAUUAUAAAAAAAUUUUAGGGUUCGCAGAGGUAGAGGACCCUACAG